rfam:Oryza glumipatula chromosome 3, whole genome shotgun sequence.
UCUUUUUCCGUGCCUAACGUUUGACCAUCCGUCUUAUUUAAAAAAAUUAUAAAAAAUUUUUAAAAGAUAAGUCACGUAUAAAAUAUUAAUCAUGUUUUAUCAUCUAGCAAUAACGAAAAUACGAAUUAUAAAAAAAAUUUAUAUAAGACAGUAAAAGUUAGACACAGGAAAUCAGGGUUUGACUUUUU